rnacentral:rRNA from 1 species
GACGAACGCUGGCGGCGUGCCUAACACAUGCAAGUCGAACGGAGUUAAGUCUUCGGAUUUAACUUAGUGGCGAACGGGUGAGUAACGCGUGAGGAACCUGCCCCUCAGUGGGGGACAACAGUUGGAAACGACUGCUAAUACCGCAUAAUGUUUCUGGACCGCAUGAUCUGGAAACCAAAGAUUUAUUGCUGAAAGAUGGUCUCGCGUCUGAUUAGCUAGAUGGCGGGGUAACGGCCCACCAAGUCGACGAUCGGUAGCCGGACUGAGAGGUUGAACGGCCACAUUGGGACUGAGACACGGCCCAGACUCCUACGGGAGGCAGCAGUGGGGAGUAUUGCACAAUGGGGGAAACCCUGAUGCAGCGACGCCGCGUGAGUGAAGAAGUAUUUCGGUAUGUAAAGCUCUAUCAGCAGGGAA